CCUUCGGGUGGCAGCAGUGGGGAAUAUUGCACAAUGGGGGAAACCCUGAUGCAGCGACGCCGCGUGAGUGAAGAAGUAUUUCGGUAUGUAAAGCUCUAUCAGCAGGGGAGCAAAGGACGGUACCUGAUUAAGAAGCACCGGAUAAAUACGUGCAAGAAGCCGCUGUACUACGUAGGGAGCAGGCGUUAUACGGAUUUACUGGGUGUAAAGGGGGCGUAGGGGGGAGGACAAGUCUGGAGGGAAAGGCCCGGGCUUAACCCCGGAACCGCCGUUGAAACUGUGCAGCUAGAGUGCAGGAGAGGUAAGUGGAAUGCCUAGUGUAGCGGUGAAAUGCGUAGAUAUUAGGCGGAACACCAGUGGCGAAGGCGGCUUACUGGACUGUAACUGACGUUGAGGCUCGAAAGCGUGGGGAGCAAACAGGAUUAGAUACCCCUGUAGUC
rnacentral:rRNA from 1 species